AGCAAAAUCCGAAGUGUUGAUGUGAGUUAAAAUUACUGGUGUUAAAAAUUUCGAGUUGAAAAGUGUUGGUUUGAGAGUUACAGUAACACUAACGGUGCUGAAAAAGCUCUGUAGCCGGAGUUAUUUCAAAGAGUCAAUACUAUAACACUCAUUUGGAGUUGAUUUCCACAUCCGGGUUUUUCGCGCUCAUGGGCAUGAGGAGUCCGCCAGAAGUUUGCUGUCAAGAUCGAGGAGGUUGUUCAGGUGCUGUUGUAAGACAUGUUGCUGAAAGUGAAAUACCUCAAUGUAAAGAAGUACAUUAAAUUGCACGCAGGAUUCACUUAUCUAGAAUUCAUCAGUGAAGCUGUCGAAGAAGACAUUUUUCUGGAGUUACUGGAGGCCCAACCAGACCUAUGCCUGACAAUACGUGAAAAGAUUUCAGAUGAAGAUUUUUGUCCUUUAGCUCAUUCCACACCAUCCUCCUCGGAUACAUUAUCUUCCCUCACGGACACUAUAUCACUUUCAUCAAGUGACAGUGACCUCAGGGAAAAGGGCAUUCCUGCAGGCCGCAGUAGAACCA